rnacentral:rRNA from 1 species
GUGAGGAAUAUUGGUCAAUGGGCGCAAGCCUGAACCAGCCAAGUAGCGUGCAGGAAGACGGCCCUCCGGGUUGUAAACUGCUUUUAGUUGGGAAUAAAGUGCGGGACGUGUCCCGUUUUGUAUGUACCAUCAGAAAAAGGACCGGCUAAUUCCGUGCCAGCAGCCGCGGUAAUACGGAAGGUCCGGGCGUUAUCCGGAUUUAUUGGGUUUAAAGGGAGCGCAGGCGGACCCUUAAGUCAGUUGUGAAAUACGGCGGCUCAACCGUCGGACUGCAGUUGAUACUGGGGGUCUUGAGUUCACACAGGGAUGCCGGAAUUCAUGGUGUAGCGGUGAAAUGCUCAGAUAUCAUGAAGAACCCCGAUCGCGAAGGCAGGCAUCCGGGGUGUUACUGACGCUGAGGCUCGAAAGUGCGGGUAUCAAACAGGAUUAGAAACCCUAGUAGUCC